rnacentral:lncRNA from 1 species
AUAAAAUUGCACCGGUGCUAAUAUUUCUUUUAUGUUAGGUAAUAGAGACCCUUUAGAGCAUAUGUUAUCGCAUCUAAAUAGAUGAUAUCGUGUGCAUAAAAAAUUAUAGCAACAGGUUAUGUCUGUAAUAGUAUAACAAUACUUAUUAUAUGUAGAGAUUAAUUCAGUGGUUUAUAGUUUAAUUGAUGAGUGAAUAAAAUUUUUCUUUAUCGUUGAGGGGGGUCUAUUUGAUGUCAUUCUUUAUGUAAAUACUCGUGCAAUUACGAUUUUAAACCUUGAUAGUCUUAUUUACAUAAUUUUAACAAUUGAUUGCGUCAUGAAUGAACGAAUAAGCCAUUUUCUCUACAGGAACAAACAUCAUGUGGGGCUCACCUGCAUUUCUAUUUAUUUCAAAGUUAAAAUGUUGAACAAAAUGACACAAAAUAUCAACAAUAUUUUCUCCAAUUAUUCAACGGAAUUUUUACUUAUUUUUUUGGGAACAAUUGUUUUUGAUCAAUUGACUCAGGUCUGAAUUUUUCUGUCUCCUUCUACGUAUCAAAAAGAGAAUGAAAUAAGAAACGCGAAUAAAUGCUAUGAGAAGAAGCCACAAGGAAAGAGGUUCAUACUCUUUAUGUACAUGCUCCAAUGAAUAUUGCUGAGGUUAUAGGUCAGGGGUAUCAUGCACAAAAAUUGCUAGUUAUCCUUUUAUAAUCCCGUAUGAUGAAACCAGGGAGAUUAGAUUUAAUCAAACCAUAAUUAUCUCUUGGUGCUUUUUUUUUUGUAUCUGUAAUUAAAGAAGAGGUUUUCUUUAUGCGACAUUUGGUCAACUUAAAAGUGACAAAAAACAAACGACAUUUCUUUAUAUCCUUCCGUAUUUCUUUAAAUUAUCAUCAUCCGCAAGUUAAGAAGUUGAAGAGGUCACGGAUGUCGACGAUUUCUUAAAGGAAGGUAAAGUGGCUCAACGAAUUUUUACCUGUUGAUCAGUUAUGCUGUUAUAAAAGUAUACACACAAGUUGUGAUGAAACAGCAGAAUUGAGGAAAAAGUUAAGAAAAAUACGUAAAAAACUUGGAAGACAAUAGAUGACGAUAGACAGGCGUGGCAAGAAAAAUAAAAGGAAUUAUUUUUUUAUGAAGUUUUAAAAAAUAUUAUGGGGUUCAUUGAUGUACCUUGAAAGAGUUUGAAGUAACUAAACACAUGAAGCAACGAAAGAAGUUGAAGAUAAAACAGAAGGAGAUGGAAAAAAACUGGUAUUGACUAAGGAGUGGCAUUCCAGUAAGGAUCACGUGGUAAGACAGCACGAGGAUCCAAGUCUUGUUCCAGCUAGAUGUGUCGAAAAAGAAACAAAGAUGAGUACAAUAAAAAGAGCAAGAUAGAAAAAGAGAAUGGGAAAGUGAAGGUUAGAACCAUGUCAGGGGGAUUCGCGUUCAAUCUUGGAGUUGAAGAAUGCGAUUAAAGGGGCCUGGGGAGAAAAGGAGGCAGGUGAGCAAAGGUUCGUACCUGAUUUUUGGCUUGAGUGUGUGUUUCUACACAACGGGGAGAUCCAAAAAUCCUAACAUACAUGAGCUCUCUAACAGAAAACGCGAAACGUUUCGGUCGAAUCGCGAAAGAAAAUGGUCGCUAUUCAUCUAGUUUAGGGGAUCAACCAACGUACAUAUGCAUCAACGCUCUUUUCUUCCAUUCUUAUAUGUAAUCUUCGUGCCCCAAGGUAUAUUGCAUUCAAUAUUGUUAAAUUUUAUAUUGAAAAAAAAUAUCUAUAGGAGAGGAAUUAAAAAUAAUCACCAUCAUUGUAUGUGGUUUGAUGAUCAAAAUUGGAGGAUUACAUCUUGCUCAAUAAUUCUUAUAAGCUAUUAUUAUUGAUAAAUUAUUUGUUUAUUUAUCUUUUCAAAGUCUACCAAGGACUUCAGACCAACAUCAACUGUUUAUACCGAUAAAUUAUUGGAGUGGACAUUUGUCAACUGACAAAAGUUGCUCCAACGUUGCUUUACCUUUUUAGCUAGGAAGCAUGCUGAGAUUCCAAACAUCCUGAGUCAAUAUAUAAAACAAUAGAUAGCACACAUUUACGUCACACCUGCCUUGAUAUACUCUCUCUCUCCAUGUCGUUCCCAUGAUACAAGAAAGAUGAAUGUCUUCAAUAUUGUUUGUAGCAGGAUUUUUUUGCAUAUAUCAAACAGCUCUAACCAGUCACGUGCACACAUGUCUUUUUAUAACUCGGCUGAAUUUUGAGCACUUAUGCAUAUGCAUUGGACCAUGUUUCUCUCUCUUUCGUAUUCUUCUUUAUUUUUUUCAACUAGUCUUAUUUUACAUUUUUUUUCCAGGUUACGCAUGCCCUGAUUUGCUCAUAGAAGUUAGCACAUAUGGAGGCAGGUUUAAGGCAAAGACGAACCUCGAAAUAAAGGUUGGAACAAUGGAUCAAGGGCAGUAUCCUGUGGAGAAAUGUCUGAUGGGACAUUUAAAGAGAACCGGACGCGAGAAUCAAUGAGAGAACUUUUAGGGGUUGACUGCAAUUUUCAAAUCUCGCGUAUAUUUAUAUACAUAUAUGUAGGUUUAUCUGAUGCUGAAGGUUCUAUAAGAGCUUGGAAAAAAUUAUAAUAAGAGCCAGCUUGAUGGAAGAUUGAUCAGGAUAAUGAUUAUCGAUAUAAUGAUCAGCUGAUAUUUUUUGGAGUGAUACUAUUAUAUAUCUCGUGAGAUUGAAAAUCAGUUUUGAUCAACAUGCAACCAGUAGCAAUUAAAGUGAAUGUGAUAAAAAAAAGAAAGAUAGUGAACCCCUUUCAACCAUGCGUGGAUUUCACAAACUGGCGGAAUAUUUUUUUAAACACGAGAACGUUCUUUUUAAAAGUCCUUGGAAAAGAAUAUUUACAUGUAAAUAAACUACUCAAGUCCUGACGUUGAAUGCUAAUGGAACUGAACGUUACAUAAAAUAUUAAAAAAUUUACCCGAUUCUUCAAUAUGUUGAUGUAAUUUGUUACAUCAAGCUAUUAUUUAAAAAUAUUAUUUUUAUUUUCCAAUUUUGUUCUGCUACAAUUUGAAGAAUAACAAUAGAUAAAUUCGAUUCUAGAAUAAAUAAAUAGUUGAUCCAAUACGAAAAUAAUAUAAAAAUUAGUUCUACUGGAAAUAUAUCAAUAAAAUGUGUGAAAUAUAUGACAGAUCAGCUAGUUUUUAAAAAGAGAGAAGGGAACUUUCUAAAAUUAUCACGAAAGUAAAUGGAGUUAAAGAUAGUUUAUUACCGUAUAAAAUCUCACAUUGCUUGACCAUGUUGGUCAGCUCCCACUAAAAUGUAAUAAAUUUAUACUCUACGUCAUGGAAAUUAUUGAAAACAUGCUGUACAGAUGUGGUCAUUUGGAAGGGCAGUAAAAAGCAGUAAAUCUUUAGGAACUUUUGACUCUUUGCAAAAAUAAAAAUCAGUCAACAUUUAAAGACAACUUAAUUGUCAUUAUUUAUUACUUAAUUAUUUUAAUUAUUUUUUAAUAAUUAAAUAUUAAUUAAUAAUAAAUAAAAAUAAUAACUCACUUGAAUAAUUUGUAAAAUACAAAAGUGCACAAAUUUUCAUCCAGUAACUGUCAGCAAUGCUCGACUAAUUUCUUCAGAACAACAAUUAAUGAUUUGAAUUAAUUAAUAAAAUCGUAACGACUAGAAUAAUCGUGGCAUAGCCCGCGAUCGCGAACGUGCGAUGUAUGUCGGCGCGACAACGGCUGUUAAACCACUGACAUGGUAAAACUAUUCACUGGGGCCUUAUGUAGCUUCGAAGGGUAGGGGAUUACCCUAGGCCUACAGUCGUAUAUGUUAUGGGUUCAUAUAAAGGUAGGGACUGAACCGGUAAGCCCCCCACUACUCAUUAUCAUCCCUUCCCUAAAGUUUAUUUCAGACCUUUACCACCUCUGCCACUUCACCAAAAGUCACCCUCUUU